rnacentral:rRNA from 1 species
GACGAACGCUGGCGGCGUGCCUAAUACAUGCAAGUUGAGCGCUGAAGGUUGGUACUUGUACCAACUGGAUGAGCAGCGAACGGGUGAGUAACGCGUGGGGAAUCCGCCUUUGAGCGGGGGACAACAUUUGGAAACGAAUGCUAAUACCGCAUAAAAACUUUAAACACAAGUUUUAAGUUUGAAAGAUGCAAUUGCAUCACUCAAAGAUGAUCCCGCGUUGUAUUAGCUAGUUGGUGAGGUAAAGGCUCACCAAGGCGAUGAUACAUAGCCGACCUGAGAGGGUGAUCGGCCACAUUGGGACUGAGACACGGCCCAAACUCCUACGGGAGGCAGCAGUAGGGAAUCUUCAGCAAUGGACGAAAGUCUGACCGAGCAACGCCGCGUGAGUGAAGAAGGUUUUCGGAUCGUAAAACUCUGUUGGUAGAGAAGAACGUUGGUGAGAGUGGAAAGCUCAUCAAGUGACGGUAACUACCCAGAAAGGGACGGCUAACUACGUG